rfam:Strigamia maritima strain Brora ctg7180001230644, whole genome shotgun sequence.
UCCCAGGUAGCUUAAUGGUAAAGCACCCAACCGGCAAUUGGUGGAUCUGGGUUCAGGUCUCGGUCUGGGCU